AUUAAGUGUACUAGAAGUACAUUGGUAAUAAAUAUAUGCUUUAUUACAUUUUUAAGAAAUAUGCUAAACUUAAGAAUAUUUUUAAUGUAUUUAUAUUAAGUGUACUAAAAGUAUGCUGGUAAUAAAUAUAUGCAUAAUUACACUUUUAAGAAAUAUGCUAAACACAAAUGUACUUCUAGUGAAGUUUUAGUAUAUUUGGAUAAAACAUACUUUUUUCAAAACAUGAUUCAUUAAUUGUAAUAAGCUAACAUUGAACUUUCCUCAAGCCUUUCAACAUUAUAUCAUUCCGAUUGCACAAUAAGCUAUUUUUUCAAAGAUUUGCUUAAAAUCUUACUUGUUUAAUUUCAAAAUCUUACUUGUUUAAUUUCAAACAACACAUGUGACACACGUGACUAAACCUGAUUGGUUGUUGUCAUAGUAACACGUCACGGUGCUAUUUGAAACUUGUUCAGUUUAGUUCAGUUGUUCACGGUGCAUGCGGUUGCUUGCAUUAAACGUAAACUGUUAAAUUAGAUGGCGACUCUGCAUUAAACGUAUUUAUUUAAUUAAUCGGCGAUCAUAUUUCACCAGAGGACUAAGAUAAAACAACUCGAUUUAAAAUAUGAGCAGUUUUAGUGGAUCUGACGUUGAGGGAAAAAGUAUUUCGCUUUUUGUUUGGAGAUGAACGAGACAACACAAGGGUAAGUGAUGACAGAUUUUCACAUUUCUUUAUUUAGUUAACUAUUAAAUAAGUAAAACAUUACAUUACAUUUAACCCAGCUUCUUUAUGUAACGUUAUGUCUGUGUUGCGUGUGGUAAUUGGAACAUCUUUAUUUUCUGACUAACGUUAGGCAUUUCUCUUAAGCAUUUCAGAAAUCAUUAAAACCUUUCAUUUUUUUUAGCACAGCGACAUAAAUAUGACCAACCAGAUCCCAAGUAGACAGGAACAAAUGAAGAUAUAGCGCAUAGAAAGACUUAUUCUUGGUGAUCAACUGCUAUUGACAUUUUUGAAUCGGGGCAAAUGUGGAGUGAAGAAAAACGUUUGCAACACAUCCAUUCCAGAGUGCUGUGACAGAUAAAACUGACACGCUUGAUGAGGACACAGUCAAAGCUUUAAAAGCCCGUGUGAUAAAGCAGUCUUCAAUUACUACGGUGUCUGAAUUGCAAGAAGAAGUCACCCUCCACUUAAACAUGUGACAUCUAAACUGUUUUGUGUUUUAGUUCAGCUUUUUAUAGGUUUAUCUUAAGUUGGUUAAAGGCAGAGUGCACUAUUUUUGAAAGCCAAUGUUAACAUUUGAAAUUACCUAAACAAACAUGCCUCUACCCCAAUAGAAUCUGGACCUUCUUUUGAUAGAGCCACCACACACAUACGCAACCCCGGCAAGGAUGUCAGUUAGUAGACACGCCCCUUACUGCUGGUUGGCUACAAGUGUGUUUUGGUAGUCGGCCCAAUUUCCUUUUCCAAAGCGUUUUUCAAACAUUGUGCACUCCGUCUUUAAAUUGCACUUAAAACAUUUAUUUUUCAGUAACUUUUUAUGCAGAGAAUUACAUUAUGAUUAUUAUAUAAUCAUUGCUUAUGAAUAUUUAGUGAUUGCAUAUUCAUAGUGUACUUUUCAUUAAUACAUUUAAUGUUAAUGUUGUACAAUUUAAAAAAUAGAAGUAGCUCUGUAAUUGCAUUUCUCUGAUAUUUGUUUUAUAUGUUUCUCUUUGGUCAAGAGAUUAUGUAUGUCUCUGUGCUUGAUUAAUUUACUUUAGGUAUUUUUGUAAUGUACACAACACAAUAUGAAGUAUAUUAAAUUGUUCUGUAUUCAAAAUCUGUGUAUGUGUCUUAAAAUUUAAUGAUUUUAAUAUAACAUUUUAAAUAUUAAAAACAGCUUUAUAAUAAAAUAGAAGUGUAAUGCUAAUACAUUUCUAUUAAUGUAAUGCUAGUAUAUUUCUAAUAUGCUGAAGUACUAUUAAAGUGUUCUUAAAGCACAGUUAAAUUAAGCUUUAAAUGUAUUCUAACUGUAUUUUUAAGUGUAUGAGAAGUGCAUUUCAAAUGAAUUUUAAAGAAGUACACUUAAAUUGCACUAAAUAUAUUUGAAGUUGUUCCAAUUUAACACAAUUUCAAUAUAUUAAAUAUAAUGCAAAUAGAUUAAAAUUGACUUUAAAUAUAUCUUGAAAUGCAUUUAAUAUAUUUGAAGUGGGUUCAAUAUAAUACAUUUAAUAUGCAUUUAGUAUAGUAGCUUUUAAAUAUAUUAAGUAUGUCCCAAAAAAUACUAUUUAAAUAUAUU